rnacentral:rRNA from 1 species
UGGGGAAUAUUGCACAAUGGGCGAAAGCCUGAUGCAGCAACGCCGCGUGAGUGAUGAAGGCCUUCGGGUUGUAAAGCUCUGUCUUUUGGGACGAUAAUGACGGUACCAAAGGAGGAAGCCACGGCUAACUACGUGCCAGCAGCCGCGGUAAUACGUAGGUGGCAAGCGUUGUCCGGAUUUACUGGGCGUAAAGGAUGCGUAGGCGGAUUUUUAAGUGAGAUGUGAAAUACCCGGGCUUAACUUGGGUGCUGCAUUUCAAACUGGGAAUCUAGAGUGCGGGAGAGGAGAAUGGAAUUCCUAGUGUAGCGGUGAAAUGCGUAGAGAUUAGGAAGAACACCAGUGGCGAAGGCGAUUCUCUGGACCGUAACUGACGCUGAGGCAUGAAAGCGUGGGUAGCAAACAGGAUUAGAUACCCUGGUAGUCCACGCCGUAAACGAUGAGUACUAGGUGUAGGAGGUAUCGACCCCUUCUGUGCCGCAGUUAACACAAUAAGUACUCCGCCUGGGAAGUACGAUCAGCAAGAUUAAAACUUAAAUGAAUUGACGGGGGUCAUAGCUGUUUCCU